rnacentral:rRNA from 1 species
ACUCAAAGGAAUAGACGGGGGCCCGCACAAGCGGUGGAGCAUGUGGUUUAAUUCGAUGCAACGCGAAAAACCUUACCUACUCUUGACAUCCUAGGAAUCUGAUAGAGAUAUUGGAGUGCCGCAAGGAACCUAGAGACAGGUGCUGCAUGGCUGUCGUCAGCUCGUGUUGUGAGAUGUUGGGUUAAGUCCCGUAACGAGCGCAACCCUUAUCCUUAGUUGCCAGCGCGUAAAGGCGGGGACUCUAAGGGGACUGCCGGUGAUGAACCGGAGGAAGGCGGGGACGACGUCAAGUCAUCAUGGCCUUUAUGAGUAGGGCUACACACGUGCUACAAUGGUCGGUACAGAGGGAAGCGAAACUGCGAAGUGGAGCGAAUCUUAUAAAGCCGAUCGUAGUCCGGAUCGAAGUCUGCAACUCGACUUCGUGAAGUCGGAAUCGCUAGUAAUCGCGAAUCAGCAUGUCGCGGUGAAUACGUUCCCGGGCCUUGCACACACCGCCCGU